rnacentral:ncRNA from 1 species
AUAGCCCCUUCGUACGAAAGGAGUUGGGUAUAUUGACCUAUGGUUUACCUGUUGUUUAUGCUAUAUAUUAUAUAUUAUAUAUUAUAUACUAUAUAAUAUAUCGUUUACUUAUACUUAAGUAAAUUGUUCACAUAGGCAUGGCAGGAAGGCUACGUCAGUUAAAGAUAAGUGCUGAAAGCAUUUAAGCGCGAAGCUUA